UUAGCCGUGAACUUGAUCCUCUGGCUGUGUGUGGGCGUGUGCUUUUUAAACACGGCAUGUGAUAAAACUCCCUUUCCAGCUGAAUCUGAAUUUUGAACACCCCUUACAUGGCUCAGAGACAGCGCCAGGACGCAGCCUCUAGUCAUGUGGGCUUCAGUGGUUGCAGUCCCCAGGCUUAACUGCCCCUCGGUACGUGGGAUCUUAGUUCCAGACCAGGGAUCAAACCUGUGUCUCCUGCAACGGCAGAAAGAAGACCACAGGCCGCUAACUUCAUAAAAGACCACCUCCAGUUACCAAGUUGCCUGAUGCCAACCAUGGCUGUUUUGAAAUUUUGCAAAAGGAAAAAAAAAAGCAAGAACCUCAUGAAGAUAUGAAAGCAGGGAGCGGGGGCACAGUUGUUGAGGCGCUAGCCGGCUGUGUUUCCCCUUUGCCUGGAAGAGAAUAAAGUUACUACUCUUUUUUC